CCUACGGGAGGCAGCAGUGGGGAAUAUUGCACAAUGGGGGAAACCCUGAUGCAGCGACGCCGCGUGAGCGAGGAAGCACUUCGGUAUGUAAAGCCCUAUCAGCAGGGACGAAAAUAGACGUUACUUGACUAAGAACCCCCGGCUAACUCCGUGCAAGCAGCCGCGGUAAUACGUAGGGGGCAAGCGUUAUCCGGUUUUUCUGGGGGGAAAGGGAGCGGAGACGGCAAGGCAAGCCAGAAGGGAAAGGGCAGGGCUCAACCCUGGACAGGCUUUUGGAAUUGUGGUGCUAGAGUGCAGGAGGGGUAAGUGGAAUUCCUAGUGUAGCGGUGAAAUGCGUAGAUAUUAGGAGGAACACCGGUGGCGAAGGCGGCUUACUGGACUGUAACUGACGUGGAGGCUCGAAAGCGUGGGGAGCAAACAGGAUUAGAUACCCGAGUAGUC
rnacentral:rRNA from 1 species